AGCGUUGUUCGGAUUUACUGGGCGUAAAGGGCGCGUAGGCGGUCAGCUCACGUCAGUUGUGAAAUCUCCGGGCUUAACUCGGAAAGGUCAACUGAUACUGUGCGACUAGAGUGCAGAAGGGGCAACUGGAAUUCUCGGUGUAGCGGUGAAAUGCGUAGAUAUCGAGAGGAAUACCAGUGGCGAAGGCGGCCUUCUGGACGGAUACUGACGCUGAGGCGCGAAAGCUAGGGGAGCAAACGGG
rnacentral:rRNA from 1 species